rnacentral:rRNA from 1 species
GCUUACGGCCAUACCACCCUGAACGGGCCCGAUCUCGUCUGAUCUCGGAAGCCAAGCAGGGUCGGGCCUGGUCAGUACUUGGACGGGAGACCGCCUGGAAUACCAGGUGCUGUAAGCU